rnacentral:tRNA from 1 species
GGGGAGAUGGCUCAGCGGUUAAAAGCACUGACUGCUCUUCCAGAGGUCCUGAGUUCAAUUCCCAGCAACCACA